rnacentral:rRNA from 1 species
UCUGCCUGGUAGUGGGGGACAACGUCUCGAAAGGGACGCUAAUACCGCAUACGUCCUACGGGAGAAAGCAGGGGACCUUCGGGCCUUGCGCUAUCAGAUGAGCCUAGGUCGGAUUAGCUAGUUGGUGAGGUAAUGGCUCACCAAGGCGACGAUCCGUAACUGGUCUGAGAGGAUGAUCAGUCACACUGGAACUGAGACACGGUCCAGACUCCUACGGGAGGCAGCAGUGGGGAAUAUUGGACAAUGGGCGAAAGCCUGAUCCAGCCAUGCCGCGUGUGUGAAGAA